UGGGGCGGUGUCGGAUCCUGGGCGUAAGCGCGCGCAGGCGGCUGUCUACGUCCGGGGUGAAAGCCCAGAGCUCAACUCUGGGACUGCCUUGGAUACGGGAUGGCUUGAGGAUCGGAGAGGCAAGGGGAAUUCCACGUGUAGCGGUGAAAUGCGUAGAGAUGUGGAGGAACACCUGUGGCGAAGGCGCCUUGCUGGCCGAUUUCUGACGCUGAGGCGCGAAAGCGUGGGGAGCAAACAGGAUUAGAUACCCUGGUAGUCCACGCCGUAAACGAUGAGUGCUAGGUGUUGGGGGGUACCACCCUCAGUGCCGAAGCUAACGCAUUAAGCACUCCGCCUGGGGAGUACGGUCGCAAGACUGAAACUCAAAGGAAUUGACGGGGGCCCGCACAAGCAGUGGAGCAUGUGGUUUAAUUCGAAGCAACGCGAAGAACCUUACCAGGACUUGACAUCCCGCUGACCAGCUUAGAGAUAAGCUCUCCCUUCGGGGCAGCGGUGACAGGUGGUGCAUGGUUGUCGUCAGCUCGUGUCGUGAGAUGUUGGGUUAAGUCCCGCAACGAGCGCAACCCUUGGAUUGUGUUGCCAUCAUUCAGUUGGGCACUUACAAUCGACUGCCGGUGACAAACCGGAGGAAGGCGGGGAUGACGUCAAAUCAUCAUGCCCCUUAUGUCCUGGGCUACACACGUGCUACAAUGGGCGGUACAAAGGGAUGCGAAGCCGCGAGGUGGAGCCAAUCCCAGAAAGCCGUUCGCAGUUCGGAUUGCAGGCUGCAACUCGCCUGCAUGAAGCCGGAAUUGCUAGUAAUCGCGGAUCAGCAUGCCGCAGUGAAUUCGUUCCCGGGCCUUGUACACACCGCCCGUCACACCAUGGGAGUUGGCAACACCCGAAGUCGGUGAGGUAACCUUUAUGGAGCCAGCCGCCUAAAGUGGGGUCGAUGACUGGGGUGAAGUCGUAACAAGGUAACC
rnacentral:rRNA from 1 species